rnacentral:rRNA from 1 species
CCUACGGGGGGCAGCAGUGGGGGAUAUUGCACAAUGGGGGCAACCCUGAUGCAGCGACGCCGCGUGGGCGAAGAAGUACUUCGGUAUGUAAAGCCCUUUCAGCAGGGAAGAAGACAUGACGGUACAUGAGCAAGACGCACCGGCUAAAUACGUGCCAGCCGCCGCGGUAAUACGUAGGGGGCAAGCGUUUUCCGGCUUUACUGGGGGUAAAGGGAGGGCAGGCGGGACGGCAAGGGCGGUGUGAAAGCCCGCGGCCCAACCGCGGGACUGCAUUGGGAACUGCCUGGCUGGAGUGCGUGAGAGGUAGGCGGAAUUCCAGGUGUAGCGGUGAAAUGCGUAGAGAUGAGGAGGAACACCGGUGGCGAAGGCAGCCUACUGGACAGGUACUGACGCUGAGGCGCGAAAGCGUGGGGAGCAAACAGGAUUAGAUACCCCAGUAGUC